GGGUUGUGAGGUUAAGCGACUAAGCGUACACGGUGGAUGCCCUGGCAGUCAGAGGCGAUGAAGGACGUGCUAAUCUGCGAUAAGCGUCGGUAAGGUGAUAUGAACCGUUAUAACCGGCGAUUUCCGAAUGGGGAAACCCAGUGUGUUUCGACACACUAUCAUUAACUGAAUCCAUAGGUUAAUGAGGCGAACCGGGGGAACUGAAACAUCUAAGUACCCCGAGGAAAAGAAAUCAACCGAGAUUCCCCCAGUAGCGGCGAGCGAACGGGGAGCAGCCCAGAGCCUGAAUCAGUGUGUGUGUUAGUGGAAGCGUCUGGAAAGGCGCGCGAUACAGGGUGACAGCCCCGUACACAAAAAUGCACAUAUUGUGAGCUCGAUGAGUAGGGCGGGACACGUGGUAUCCUGUCUGAAUAUGGGGGGACCAUCCUCCAAGGCUAAAUACUCCUGACUGACCGAUAGUGAACCAGUACCGUGAGGGAAAGGCGAAAAGAACCCCGGCGAGGGGAGUGAAAAAGAACCUGAAACCGUGUACGUACAAGCAGUGGGAGCACGCUUAGGCGUGUGACUGCGUACCUUUUGUAUAAUGGGUCAGCGACUUAUAUUCUGUAGCAAGGUUAACCGAAUAGGGGAGCCGAAGGGAAACCGAGUCUUAACUGGGCGUUAAGUUGCAGGGUAUAGACCCGAAACCCGGUGAUCUAGCCAUGGGCAGGUUGAAGGUUGGGUAACACUAACUGGAGGACCGAACCGACUAAUGUUGAAAAAUUAGCGGAUGACUUGUGGCUGGGGGUGAAAGGCCAAUCAAACCGGGAGAUAGCUGGUUCUCCCCGAAAGCUAUUUAGGUAGCGCCUCGUGAAUUCAUCUCCGGGGGUAGAGCACUGUUUCGGCAAGGGGGUCAUCCCGACUUACCAACCCGAUGCAAACUGCGAAUACCGGAGAAUGUUAUCACGGGAGACACACGGCGGGUGCUAACGUCCGUCGUGAAGAGGGAAACAACCCAGACCGCCAGCUAAGGUCCCAAAGUCAUGGUUAAGUGGGAAACGAUGUGGGAAGGCCCAGACAGCCAGGAUGUUGGCUUAGAAGCAGCCAUCAUUUAAAGAAAGCGUAAUAGCUCACUGGUCGAGUCGGCCUGCGCGGAAGAUGUAACGGGGCUAAACCAUGCACCGAAGCUGCGGCAGCGACGCUUAUGCGUUGUUGGGUAGGGGAGCGUUCUGUAAGCCUGCGAAGGUGUGCUGUGAGGCAUGCUGGAGGUAUCAGAAGUGCGAAUGCUGACAUAAGUAACGAUAAAGCGGGUGAAAAGCCCGCUCGCCGGAAGACCAAGGGUUCCUGUCCAACGUUAAUCGGGGCAGGGUGAGUCGACCCCUAAGGCGAGGCCGAAAGGCGUAGUCGAUGGGAAACAGGUUAAUAUUCCUGUACUUGGUGUUACUGCGAAGGGGGGACGGAGAAGGCUAUGUUGGCCGGGCGACGGUUGUCCCGGUUUAAGCGUGUAGGCUGGUUUUCCAGGCAAAUCCGGAAAAUCAAGGCUGAGGCGUGAUGACGAGGCACUACGGUGCUGAAGCAACAAAUGCCCUGCUUCCAGGAAAAGCCUCUAAGCAUCAGGUAACAUCAAAUCGUACCCCAAACCGACACAGGUGGUCAGGUAGAGAAUACCAAGGCGCUUGAGAGAACUCGGGUGAAGGAACUAGGCAAAAUGGUGCCGUAACUUCGGGAGAAGGCACGCUGAUAUGUAGGUGAAGUCCCUCGCGGAUGGAGCUGAAAUCAGUCGAAGAUACCAGCUGGCUGCAACUGUUUAUUAAAAACACAGCACUGUGCAAACACGAAAGUGGACGUAUACGGUGUGACGCCUGCCCGGUGCCGGAAGGUUAAUUGAUGGGGUCAGCGCAAGCGAAGCUCUUGAUCGAAGCCCCGGUAAACGGCGGCCGUAACUAUAACGGUCCUAAGGUAGCGAAAUUCCUUGUCGGGUAAGUUCCGACCUGCACGAAUGGCGUAAUGAUGGCUAGGCUGUCUCCACCCGAGACUCAGUGAAAUUGAACUCGCUGUGAAGAUGCAGUGUACCCGCGGCAAGACGGAAAGACCCCGUGAACCUUUACUAUAGCUUGACACUGAACAUUGAGCCUUGAUGUGUAGGAUAGGUGGGAGGCUUUGAAGUGUGGACGCCAGUCUGCAUGGAGCCGACCUUGAAAUACCACCCUUUAAUGUUUGAUGUUCUAACGUUGACCCGUAAUCCGGGUUGCGGACAGUGUCUGGUGGGUAGUUUGACUGGGGCGGUCUCCUCCUAAAGAGUAACGGAGGAGCACGAAGGUUGGCUAAUCCUGGUCGGACAUCAGGAGGUUAGUGCAAUGGCAUAAGCCAGCUUGACUGCGAGCGUGACGGCGCGAGCAGGUGCGAAAGCAGGUCAUAGUGAUCCGGUGGUUCUGAAUGGAAGGGCCAUCGCUCAACGGAUAAAAGGUACUCCGGGGAUAACAGGCUGAUACCGCCCAAGAGUUCAUAUCGACGGCGGUGUUUGGCACCUCGAUGUCGGCUCAUCACAUCCUGGGGCUGAAGUAGGUCCCAAGGGUAUGGCUGUUCGCCAUUUAAAGUGGUACGCGAGCUGGGUUUAGAACGUCGUGAGACAGUUCGGUCCCUAUCUGCCGUGGGCGCUGGAGAACUGAGGGGGGCUGCUCCUAGUACGAGAGGACCGGAGUGGACGCAUCACUGGUGUUCGGGUUGUCAUGCCAAUGGCACUGCCCGGUAGCUAAAUGCGGAAGAGAUAAGUGCUGAAAGCAUCUAAGCACGAAACUUGCCCCGAGAUGAGUUCUCCCUGACUCCUUGAGAGUCCUGAAGGAACGUUGAAGACGACGACGUUGAUAGGCCGGGUGUGUAAGCGCAGCGAUGCGUUGAGCUAACCGGUACUAAUGAACCGUGAGGCUUAACCUUACAACGCCGAAGCUGUU
rnacentral:rRNA from 1 species